UAAGGAAUAUUGCUCAAUGGGAGAAAUCCUGAAGCAGCAACGCCGCGUGGAGGAUGAAGGGUCUAUGACUUGUAAACUCCUGUAAAGAAGGAAAAAAUUCCCAUUAGAUGGGAGAUGUUGGUACUUCUGGAGUAAGCCCCGGCUAACUACGUGCCAGCAGCCGCGGUAAUACGUAGGGGGCAAGCGUUGUCCGGUUUUACUGGGUGUAAAGGGUGCUCAGGCGGAUUUGUAAGUCAGAGGUGAAAUCUGACAGCUUAACUGUGAAACUGCCUUUGAUACUGCAAGCCUAGAGUAUGGAAGAGAGUGAUGGAAUAUCUGGUGUAGCAGUGAAAUGCGUAGAUAUCAGAUAGAACACCCAUGGCGAAGGCAGUCACUUGGUCCAUUACUGACGCUAAAGCACGAAAGCGUGGGUAGCAAACA
rnacentral:rRNA from 1 species